UAUAUUUAUUAAAUAAUUUUACCCGAAAAAUUAAGAUCUACGCUAUUUUGAUUUUUAGAAAAUAAAUGUUUAAUGUAGCAUCAUUAUUAGUAAAAAAUCGCGUAGGGGUGAAAUACUUUCAAUUUAUUUGAUAUCUGGAUUAAACUGAAAUGAAUAUAGUUCAUAAAAUAAUCACAAAGUUAUAAGAUUUUGUGAAGCAAGAAUAAAAAUUUAAUAGCUUUCAACGGAAUAAAUUUUUAGAUUGAUUGGUAAUAAAAAUAUUUAUAUUUACGCUAAUCUGCACUAUUAAGUUUACGCCUAUAAAAAUUUCUUGAUGGGUUGAUAAUGUUUAAAUUAGUAAACUAACCAAAUUUAACUAAAGGAACUCGGCAAAUAUUAUCUUCAACUAGUUUAUCAAAAACAUAGCUUUCAGGAAAUACAUUUAAAGUCUAAUCUGCCCAGUGACAAAUUUAACGGCCGCAGUACAUUGACUGUGCUAAGGUAGCAUAAUAAGUUGACUUUUAAUUGGAGUCGGGUAUGAAUGGAUAGCUGGAGAUUUUCUGUCUCAGGUUACUUAUGUUUAAAUUACUAAAAAGGUGAAAAUUCCUUUAUUGGCUAUGUUAGACGAGAAGACCCUGAGAAUUAUCACUAAAAAUUUGUCUGUUUAAGUUUUUGUUGGGGCAACAAAUUAGGCUAACCGACUUAUUAAUAUAAUUUCAUGUAAUGACUUUAUGGAAUGACAUAAAUUACCUCAGGGAUAACAGCAUAAUUAAUUUAUUAGAUUGUGACCUCGAUGUUGGACUAAGGACUUUAUUAAAUAGCCUUUAAUAAAGAUAGUUCUGUUCGAACUGAGAACCUUACAU
rnacentral:rRNA from 1 species